CCUACGGGAGGCAGCAGUGGGGAAUAUUGCACAAUGGGGGAAACCCUGAUGCAGCGACGCCGCGUGAGUGAAGAAGUAAUUCGUUAUGUAAAGCUCUAUCAGCAGGGAAGAAAAUGACCGUACCUGAGUAAGAAGCCCCGGCUAACUACGUGCCAGCAGCCGCGGUAAUACGUAGGGGGCAAGCGUUCGCCGGAUUUACUGGGUGUAAAGGGAGCGGAGACGGGAGUGCAAGUCCCGAGGGAAAGGCGGGGGCUCAAACCCCGGACUGCUCUGGAUACUGUACGGCUGGAGUGAAAGAGAGGUAAGUGGAAUUCCUAGUGAAGCGGUGAAAUGCGUAGAUAUAAGGAGGAACACCAGUGGCGAAGGCGGCUUACUGGACUGUAACUGACGUUGAGGCUCGAAAGCGUGGGGAGCAAACAGGAUUAGAUACCCCAGUAGUC
rnacentral:rRNA from 1 species